rnacentral:tRNA from 1 species
GGGCCUUUAGCUCAUUUGGUAGAGCGCCGCGUUUGCAACGCGGAGGUGGCCGGUUCGAGUCCGGCAAGGUCCA